GUCUACAGCCAUGCCACCCUGAACAAGCCUGAUAUCGUCUGAUCUCGGAAGCUAAGCACGGUCGGGCCUGGUUAGUUCUUGGAUGGGAGACCACCUAGGAAAACCAGGUGCUGUGGGCC
rnacentral:rRNA from 1 species